GGAGGUUCUAAAUCGGAAGAAUUGGGUUUAUUUGAACUUGAAAACCAGAGUCGGGGUAACUCGACCGUGGGUUCGACUCCCACCCCCUCCGCCA
rnacentral:tRNA from 1 species